rnacentral:rRNA from 1 species
GCGUAACACAUUGGUAAUCUACCCCCCAGUCGGGCACAACCACGCGAAAGCGUGGCUAAUUCCACGAUGGGCAUGCGGGGACUUAUGUCAUUCGCAUGUAAAGCGCAAAACGCGCUGGGGGAGGAGCCUAUGGCCCAUCAGCUAGUUGGCGGGGUAAUGGCCCACCAAAGCGACGACGGGUAUGGGGUGUGAGAGCAUGACCCCACUCACUGGGACUGAGACACUGCCCAGACACCUACGGGUGGCUGCAGUUAAGAAUAUUCCCCAAUGGCCGAAAGGCUGAGGGAGCGACGCCGCGUGCGGGAUGAAGGGCUUCGGCUCGUAAACCGCUUUUAUUUGGGACGAAUUCUGACCGGUACCAAAUGAAUAAAGAGGUUGCUAACUCUGUGCCAGCAGCAGCGGUAAUACAGAGACCUCAAACGUUGUCCGGAUUUAUUGGGCGUUAAGGGUCCGCAGGUGGCCCUGCGCGUCGGGAGUCAAAAUGUCGGGGCUCAACUCCGACACCGCUCUCGAUACGGCAGGGCUAGAGGCCGGAAGAGGCACACGGAAUUGCCGGUGUAGUAGUAAUAUGCGUUAAUAUCGGCAAGAACACCAAAAGCGAAGGCAGUGUGCUAGGACGGUUCUGACACUCAGGGACGAAAGCGUGGGGAGCGAAAGGGAUUAGAUACCCCUGUAGUCCACGCCCUAAACGAUGGAUGCUAGAUGCUGGGAGUAUCGACCCUCCCGGUGUCGCUUAAAAAAGCUAACGCAUUAAGCAUCCCGCCUGGGGAGUACGGCCGCAAGGCUAAAACUCAAAGGAAUAGACGGGGACCCGCACAAGCGGAGGAGCAUGUGGUUUAAUUCGAUGGUAAGCGAAGAACCUUACCUGGGCUCGAAAUGCAGCUGCAAGCCGGCGGAAACGUCGCCGCCUUCGAGGGUGCUGCAUAGGUGCUGCAUGGUUGCCGUCAGCUCGUGUCGUGAGAUGUACCGUUAAGUCGGAUAACGAGCGCAACCCCUGUCCCAUGUUGCAUUUUCAUGGGAGACCGCCUCGGAUAACGGGGAGGAAGGUGGGGACGACGUCAAAUCAGCAUGGCUCUUACGUCCAGGGCUACACACGUGCUACAAUGGCGUUGACAAUGGGCUGCCAAACCGCAAGGUGGAGCUAAUCCCAUCAAACAACGCCCCAGUUCGGAUUGGGGGCU